UCCCGGGGUUAGUCUAAAACUGAGUAUGAAACUCCUUUGUGGUGUUUUUUGUAGAACAUUUCUUUUAGAAUGAGUUAAGAUAUAAUGGUUUAAUGCAUCUAAAAAAUAAAUACUACUUCUGAAGAGAAUUCCUAAUCACUUUUCUUUGUCUACUAUAAUAGGAUAUAAUGUAUUACGUAACAUUUUCAAGUAUUUUUUUUAAAUUGGUUCAUCUUUUAGAGGUUCUUUCUGGGCAUGAAUUUUCUUAAUAUUUCACUGAACAAUGUUUGCUGUGAAUUCUGUGUUACGUCCUUAUUAUGCUGUAACAUACAGGAAGUGAAGCACAUGAAUCAUAAAUGCAAGCUUGCUAAAGUCUCAGUUCAUUUUCUUCAACUAGCAAGCAAACAACUUCAUCUGUGUUUACGAACCAGGGUUUUAAACGUGAAGAAACUGAGUUAUAUUAUCCAGAUUGGCUAAGAGGAAACAAGUUUGACUCAGAAGACCAGUUUUAAAUUGCACUUAAGAUUGACAGCAUAAAGAUGGCCGAAUCAUUGGAAAUGUCAUCCCAGAUAAUGUAUGCAGUAUCUUUCGAUGACGGAAUCCUGUACUUUAAAGCAAAACCUCAAGGAGAAGACAACAUUGAUG